UACAGAGAGUGCAAGCGUUAAUCGGAAUUACUGGGCGUAAAGCGCACGUAGGUGGAUAUUUAAGUCGAAUGUGAAAGCCCUGGGCUCAACCUAGGAACUGCAUCCGAUACUGAAUAUCUUGAGUAUAAUAGAGGGAAGUGGAAUUUCCGGUGUAGCGGUGAAAUGCGUAGAUAUCGGAAAGAACACCAGUGGCGAAGGCGGCUUCCUGGAUUAAUACUGACACUGAGGUGCGAAAGCGUGGGGAGCAAACAGG
rnacentral:rRNA from 1 species